AAGCCGGGCGGGUGUGAUCUCCGAAGAAAGCCUUUAGUCUUGAAUGGGCUGCUGUUUCUAACAUAACUGCAAUCAUACUCUAUGACUCUCUGUCUGCGCAAUGCAUUAGCGUUUGCAAAGUGCUUUUGUGGCCUAAAGAAUCGGGAGAAGGAGGCAAUUCUACUUGGAACUAUUUCGGGCUCAGCGUGGGCAUGAUUCUUUGUUCGCUCUGCUCCAUUCCCCACAGUUUCCCUAUUGAUGGGAGAUUACUA
rnacentral:lncRNA from 1 species